rnacentral:rRNA from 1 species
UACGGGGGGGGCAAGCGUUGUUCGGAAUUACUGGGCGUAAAGGGCUCGUAGGCGGCCAACUAAGUCAGACGUGAAAUCCCUCGGCUUAACCGGGGAACUGCGUCUGAUACUGGAUGGCUUGAGUGUGGGAGAGGGAUGCGGAAUUCCAGGUGUAGCGGUGAAAUGCGUAGAUAUCUGGAGGAAUACCGGUGGCGAAGGCGGCAUCCUGGACCGACAUUGACGCUGAGGAGCGAAAGCCAGGGGAGCAAACGGG